AUGAACGCUAGCGGCAGGCCUAACACAUGCAAGUCGAGGGGUAACGAUGGCUUCGGCCAGGCGACGACCGGCGCACGGGUGAGUAUCGCGUUUGUAACCUACCUCUAACUGGAGAAUAGCCCGAAGAAAUUCGGAUUAAUACUCCAUAAUACUAUGAUCUGGCAUCUUUUUAUAGUUAAAGCUCCGGCGGUUAGAGAUGGGCAUGCGUGACAUUAGUUUGUUGGUGAGGUAAAAGCUCACCAAGACUACGAUGUCUAGGGGGGUCUGAGAGGAUGGUCCCCCACACUGGUACUGAGACACGGACCAGACUCCUACGGGAGGCAGCAGUGAGGAAUAUUGGUCAAUGGGCGCAAGCCUGAACCAGCCAUGCCGCGUGAAGGAUGACAGCGCUAUGCGUUGUAAACUUCUUUUGUACAGGAAGAAACACUUCUACGUGUAGAAGCUUGACGGUACUGUACGAAUAAGCAUCGGCUAACUCCGUG
rnacentral:rRNA from 1 species